GGAUGUGUUAGUGGUAGUAGUGGCAAUGCUAGUUGAGAUUGUAUGGUGGGGGUAGUAGUGGUGGUAAAUAAACAGCUCCUUCCUCUCCUUCUCAUAUCUCUAGCAAGGUGCUCUGCUAGGGCACACUACUCUUACGUCUCCAAGCUAAAGAUACCCCAUUUCUACCUCCGACUCACUAUCUUAGUUCGUGGAGUUGUUGUGCUUGGGUUGCAUUCUCUAAGUUGUUGCUCCCUU